rnacentral:rRNA from 1 species
UACGUAGGUGGCGAGCGUUGUCCGGAUUUACUGGGCGUAAAGGGCGUGCAGGCGGUUUGUUAAGUGCAGGGUGAAAGCUCCCGGCUCAACUGGGAGAGGUCCUUGCAUACUGGCGAACUCGAGGGAGGCAGAGGAAAGUGGAAUUCCUGGUGUAGCGGUGAAAUGCGCAGAUAUCAGGAGGAACACCGAUGGCGAAGGCAGGUCUCUGGGCAUUAACUGACGCUGAGGAGCGAAAGCAUGGGGAGCGAACAGG